rnacentral:rRNA from 2 species
AGAUAGAAGUAACUUCGUUACAGCGGACACAGGUGGUGCAUGGUUGUCGUCAGCUCGUGUCGUGAGAUGUUGGGUUAAGUCCCGCAACGAGCGCAACCCUUGUCUUUAGUUGCCAUCAUUAAGUUGGGCACUCUAAAGAGACUGCCGAUGACAAAUCGGAGGAAGGUGGGGAUGACGUCAAAUCAUCAUGCCCUUUAUGUCCUGGGCUACACACGUGCUACAAUGGUCGGUACAACGAGAAGCAAGCCAGCGAUGGCAAGCAAAUCUCUAAAAGCCGAUCCCAGUUCGGAUUGCAGGCUGCAACUCGCCUGCAUGAAGUCGGAGUUGCUAGUAAUCGCGGAUCAGAAUGCCGCGGUGAAUGCGUUCCCGGGUCUU